rnacentral:rRNA from 1 species
UAACGCGAAGAACCUUACCCGGGCUUGAAAGUUAGCGACGGCGGAUGGAAGUCUGCUUCCCUUCGGGGCGCGAAACUAGGUGCUGCAUGGUUGUCGUCAGCUCGUGCCGUGAGGUGUCGGCUUAAGUGCCAUAACGAGCGCAACCCUUGCCGUUAGUUGCCGGCGGGUAAUGCCGGGAACUCUAGCGGGACUGCUACUGUAAGGUAGAGGAAGGUGGGGAUGACGUCAAAUCAGCACGGCCCUUACGUCCGGGGCGACACACGUGUUACAAUGGCAGGUACAGAGGGUUACUACCCCGCGAGGGGAUGCUAAUCUCGUAAAACCUGUCUCAGUUCGGAUCGGAGUCUGCAACUCGACCCCAUGAAGCUGGAUUCGCUAGUAAUCGCGCAUCAGCCAUGGCGCGGUGAAUACGUUCCCGGGUCUUGUACACACCGA